ensembl:lncRNA
AAAAAAAAAAAAUAUAUACAUAUUAUCUACAUUUCAAAGAUUUGAUAAAAUAAAGGGUAAGCAUGUUCUCCCUAUUAUAUAUAUUUUUUGUCUUAAUUCUUAUUUACCUUACUCUCUUUUUAAUUUUUUUUUUUAUUAAACAAUUUAAAAUUAUAUCCAAUGGGUAUAUUAGAAAUUUGUGUAGAAUCAAAAUUUUAACAAAAAUUUAAGUAAGCUCGUUUUUUUUUUUUUUUUUUUUUUUAUGCGUAAAAUAUAUAUACAUUAUAUGUAUAUAUGUAUAUAAUGUAUUUCGCUAAUAUAUUUUAACCGCUUUUACAAAAGAGAGUUACUUAAAAUUCCAUUUGUCUUUAUAUGUAUAAGUAACCAGGUAGAUAUAAAUAUAUGUACAAAGGUAGGUAGAUAAGUUAAUAAACUAUCGUAUAAACGUCUAUAUAAGUAAUUGUAAAAAGCGAGCUGAUCAAAAAAGUGCAUAUCCCACCCUUUCCCGCUUCCUAUCUAAUAAAAAAAAAAAAAAAAAAAAAAAGUAAUAUAAAAUAAUUAAUAAAUUAAUAAAUGAUAAAUUAAUAAAUAAAUAAAUAAAUAAGUAAAAAAUGAAUUCCAAUAACAUACUGUCUGACAAAGAACAAAAUGAAAAUAUUAACGAAGAUCCCGCUACUUUAAGAAGUAACGAAAAAGAAAACAUAAUAACAAACGAAAAUAAAAAUGGAGAUUUAUUAAGUUCUAAAGAAAUGAAUAACAAGGAUGAAUGUGACUAUAGUGAAACGAAUGUGACAUGUAGUGAAUUUGAAAAAAAUGAUAAUAUAAUAAAAACGAAUAAAAAAAAGAAAAAAAAGAAGAAAAAUGUAGUGAAAGAUGAAAAAAAAUCAGGUAGCAAUAAUAGUACGAAAAAAAAACAAAUAAAAAAUGACAAAACUGUUGCUCAUAACGAAUUAGGAAAAAGAAAAAGUUCAUCAGAAGAAACAAGUGAAGAGGAUAAUUGGAGUGACAACAACAAUUAUGAAACAGUAAUCAAUAGUUUAAAUGAUAUAACAAAUAGUAUAAAUAUGAGUAACAAUCAAAUUUGUACAAAUAAUAGCGGCACUAAUGCUAGCUCUGUUAAUGAGAAAGAUAUUCGGAAUAUAAAAAAGAAAUUACAGAAUACCAUAAAAUUUAUCAAGGCGAAAGAAAAAGCACAAAAAACAUAUGAAGAUUGCAUUGGUAAGUCACAAAAAGAGUUGGAAAAUAAAAGUAUUAAAAAUGCACAGAUUUUAAAAAGCUAUGAUGAAGAAAAAAAAAAAGUUUUAUUAUUACAAGGUGAAUUAGACAAGCUACAAAUUAUGUUUGAUAAUGAUCAAAAAAAAAAAGACAAGUGGAAUAGUGACAAAUAUAAUUACUUAGAAGAAAUUGAGUCACUUAAAACGUACAUAGAGACACUAGAAGUGAAAGUCGAAAAAAAGAAUAGCGACUUGGAAGAAUUAAAAAGAGAAAAUAAAAAUAUUUUAUUAAGAGUAGAUAAUAUGGAAAAAAAUAGUAAAGAUGCUAAAAACGAAAAUAACGAACUAAAUGAUUCUAUAAAUAGUUUACAAAGAGACUUAAGCAAAAAAAAUAUUUUAAUAGAUAAUUUAAGAAAAGAGUUAGAAGAACAAAAAAAAAUAAAUGAAGAUUAUACUAAAGAAAAAAUUUUAAUAGAAAAGGAUACGGAGCAAUUAAUGGAAGAACAAAUGUUUUUAAAUGAAGAAUUAGAUAAAACAAAAAAAUUGUUAGAUUCUCAAAUAAAUAAGAAUAAAGAAUUACAAAAUAAUAAAGCUAAAUUAUUAGAAAAAAUUGACAUAUAUGAUAAAAAAAAAAAUGAAAUGAUAAAAAAAAUUCAUGAUAUGGAACAAAAAUGUGAAGACUUGAAUAAAAAUAAUAAACUGCUACUAAACGAAAUGAAAUUGAAAGAUAGUGAAAUUGUUAAUCACAUUUCGAUGAUUAAUAAUUUAACUAGUAAUAAUACCAAAACUCAAAUUAAAUUAGAUAAAGAAGCUUUUAAAGUUAAAAUGUUAGAAAAAGAAAAAAAAACGUUAAGUAUCGAUGUGAAGGCUCUUAACUAUGAAAUACAGAAUAUUAUGAAAAUAACAGAAGAAACUAAAACUAUGUAUCAAAAUCAAAAACGUGAAAUAAAUGACCUUAUAAUUGAAAAAGAACAAACGAAAAAAUUAAUUGAAAAAAUAGAUGAACUUAUAAAAAAAAAUGCAGAUAUUGCUAAAAAAGAAAAAUUGAGUAAUAUAUACUUAGAAAAGGAUAUGCAAAAAAAUAUAAAAGGACAAACUAAAUUAAAUGAAGAAAUUGAAACUUUGAAUAAAGAAAAAGACAAGUUGUUACAAGAAAUUGCUUCUCAUAAUUAUACAAUUAUAAAUACAGCAAAUGAAUUAGCAAGUAGAGAAAACAAAAUUAAUAGCUAUAUAAAAAUGGUAAAUACGUUAAAAAGCGAUUUAGCAAAAGAGAAAUCGCUGUAUGAAAGUGUAAGAAGUGAAAAAAUGAAUAUUAAUAAAUCUCUGAUCGAAACAAAAGAAAAAUUAAAUAGUUUAGAAGAUAAGUUGAAAGCACAAGGAAAUGAAUUGGAAUUCUUAAAAAAUGAUAAAAAGAAUGCCGAAAUAAAAAUAGCUGAUUUGACAGAAGAAAAAAAAAAUCUACUCAGACAAUGUGAAAAAUUUAAAGAACAAGUAGAUAAAUAUAAAUGUCAAAACGAAAACACAAAAAAUCAGUUAGUACAUGAUAAAAAAUCAAAAGAUAAAUUAGAAAUGGAUUUAAACGAACUUAACAAUAAAUUAAAAAAUUCUGAUAAAAGUAUAAGUAAUAUGAAAAGAGAAAAAGAAUUGUUCAAUAAUGAUAUAGUAGAUAAAAAUAAUCAAAUUGAUACUUUGAAAGAAAAAUUAAAACUGUUACAAAAUUCACAUGAUAAAUUAUAUUCAUUAAAUAAAAGCCAAAUAAACGAAAUAAAAACUUUAAACAAAAAAAUUACAAAUUUAAAAAAUGCAAAUGAAUUAAGUAAUGCAACAAAAGAAAGCUUAAAUAAUAACCAAAUCGAAAUUAAUAGCUUAAAAAAAGAAAUAUUAAUCGAACAA